rfam:Aedes albopictus isolate Foshan contig58649, whole genome shotgun sequence.
UGCCCAGCAACUCCUAUCCCUACCUCCACGCGGUACCGGCCGGAAACUAUGAGCCACCUUAGGGAAGAUCGGGUAACCAACCCCGAUGGGAACUUUGGUCGUAGGCUGACAGGAAAGG